GUUUAUUUUUGGAAUAAUGAAAGUAUUCUGAAAGUAGAUAGUGGUGCUUACAGCAUAACCUUUUGAUUAUGCUGAAAACUACUAAGCUAUACACUAUAAAAUACUGAACUUUAUAGUAUGUGAAUAUUUUAUUAAUUUUAAAAACCUCAAGACAAUAUUAUAUUUAGCCAUAGCCCAAGUACAUAUGGCCAAGUGUGGUUACUUUACGUUGAAGGGCAUCCACACAGCCCCUGGAAGUAAAAGGUGGUAGAAACCCAGGUCCUUUCCUAAGCUGAUGCCCAUCUAUCAACAGUAAAGGCAACCAAUGCAGAGUAUCCUGAGUAUUGUGCUGGUCACUCCCAGGUGGGCGGAUCUUUGAGAGGUAUGAUGUCACAAAGACCUCUCAGAACAUACCAACCAUCUUUGAGCACCAUUACCCAAGUCUGUAACUGGGUUGACUAUCUGACCGAAUAGUACCUUGAAAAGAAAAAAAAAUUCUGACACAGGUGUUUCUCUCAUGGCCAAAUUCCUUAAGUGUUCUCUUAAUUCAGUUGUAAAGACUUCCUCUUCAUUUCAAAGGAGCAAGCAUUCCUGCCAUUUACCCUCUGCCAGGUCAGUAAGCCAAAUCAGUAUGGGUACAAGGCUGGUUAACCCUUUGGAUUUGGUUCAUUUUGUCCAUAGCUUCUUGUUUCAGAGAAGCUAACCUGAGGUCUGUUCCAAAAGAUUUUGGUUUUAUUUUCUUUCUCUCUUGAUAAUAAUGAAUAGUUUUAGUUCUAGAAUAACUAGAAAGUGGCAACCAGUGUUUUUUUCUUAAUGCUAGAGAUAUGUGAGCUAUGCAUAUACCUUUAUUAAACUAACUUGUGAGAAAUAUACUGUAUUUGUAGGGGUUGAUAGCAGAGGGGUUUUAUCUUUGAAUAAUUGUUCUUGUAACUUGGUACUUUCCCCAAAAAACUGAGUUGGAGUUAAAGUUAUUUGACUUAUGGAAACUUUAAAAAAAUAUAUUGCUAAGAGAGUGACAUGUCAAAAUAGCUGAACAUUAAUAUCAUGCCAUCUGACAUCAAUCUAAUGAUAUAUUUCUUAGAGAAUGAAUUUGCCAAUUGAAUAAAACUUGAAAAAACAUUUUCA
rnacentral:lncRNA from 1 species